GUCGAGGGGCAGCAUGGUCUUAGCUUGCUAAGGCCGAUGGCGACCGGCGCACGGGUGAGUAACACGUAUCCAACCUGCCGUCUACUCUUGGACAGCCUUCUGAAAGGAAGAUUAAUACAAGAUGGCAUCAUGAGUCCGCAUGUUCACAUGAUUAAAGGUAUUCCGGUAGACGAUGGGGAUGCGUUCCAUUAGAUAGUAGGCGGGGUAACGGCCCACCUAGUCUUCGAUGGAUAGGGGUUCUGAGAGGAAGGUCCCCCACAUUGGAACUGAGACACGGUCCAAACUCCUACGGGAGGCAGCAGUGAGGAAUAUUGGUCAAUGGGCGAGAGCCUGAACCAGCCAAGUAGCGUGAAGGAUGACUGCCCUAUGGGUUGUAAACUUCUUUUAUAAAGGAAUAAAGUCGGGUAUGCAUACCCGUUUGCAUGUACUUUAUGAAUAAGGAUCGGCUAACUCCGUGCCAGCAGCCGCGGUAAUACGGAGGAUCCGAGCGUUAUCCGGAUUUAUUGGGUUUAAAGGGAGCGUAGAUGGAUGUUUAAGUCAGUUGUGAAAGUUUGCGGCUCAACCGUAAAAUUGCAGUUGAUACUGGAUAUCUUGAGUGCAGUUGAGGCAGGCGGAAUUCGUGGUGUAGCGGUGAAAUGCUUAGAUAUCACGAAGAACUCCGAUUGCGAAGGCAGCCUGCUAAGCUGC
rnacentral:rRNA from 1 species